AGUGAACGCUGGCGGUAGGCCUAACACAUGCAAGUUGAACGGCAGCACAGUAAGAGCUUGCUCUUACGGGUGGCGAGUGGCGGACGGGUGAGGAAUACAUCGGAAUCUACUUUUUCGUGGGGGAUAACGUAGGGAAACUUACGCUAAUACCGCAUACGACCUACGGGUGAAAGCAGGGGAUCUUCGGACCUUGCGCGAUUGAAUGAGCCGAUGUCGGAUUAGCUAGUUGGCGGGGUAAAGGCCCACCAAGGCGACGAUCCGUGGCUGGUCUGAGAGGAUGAUCAGCCACACUGGAGCUGAGACACGGUCCAGACUCCUACGGGAGGCAGCAGUGGGGAAUAUUGGACAAUGGGCGCAAGCCUGAUCCAGCCAUACCGCGUGGGUGAAGAAGGCCUUCGGGUUGUAAAGCCCUUUUGUUGGGAAAGAAAAGCAGCAGGUUAAUACCCCGCUGUUCUGACGGUACCCAAAGAAUAAGCACCGGCUAACUUCGUG
rnacentral:rRNA from 1 species